ACGCUCGACACCUACGGGAGGCAGCAGUGAGGGGAUAUUGGUCAAUGGGGGGAACCCUGAACCAGCAACGCCGCGUGAGGGAUGACGGUCUUCGGAUUGUAAACCUCUGUCCUCUGUGAAGAUAAUGACGGUAGCAGAGGAGGAAGCUCCGGCUAACUACGUGGCAGCAGCCGCGGUAAUCUGAGCGGGCUGGCAAGGC
rnacentral:rRNA from 1 species